rnacentral:rRNA from 1 species
UACGUAGGUGACCAGCGUUGUCCGGAUUUACUGGGCGUAAAGAGCGCGCAGGCGGUCGUUCAAGUCGAGUGUGAAAGUUUCCGGCUCAACUGGGGAGGGUCAUUCGAUAUUGAUCGACUUGAAGGUAGGAGAGGGAAGUGGAAUUCCCGGUGUAGUGGUGAAAUGCGUAGAUAUCGGGAGGAACACCAGUGGCGAAGGCGACUUCCGGUCUGUUCUUGACGCUGAGGCGCGAAAGCUAGGGGAGCAAACGGG